rnacentral:ncRNA from 1 species
UCGUAAACAUCGCCGGAUGCUUGCGACUAAAGUGUUAAUGAACAGUUCUUAGGCCAUAGCUGAACUGUUUGUUGGCACUUUUUUUGU